rnacentral:rRNA from 1 species
AUUGAACGCUGGCGGCAGGCCUAACACAUGCAAGUCGAUCGCGCGGCUGACGGGUGAGUAAUGUAUGGGAGACUGCGUGAUGGAGGGGGAUAACUACUGGAAACGGUAGCUAAUACCGCAUACCAUCGGAUGUGCCCAGAUGGGAUUAGCUAGUAGGGGGGGUAAAGGCUCACCUAGGCGACGAUCCCUAGCUGGUCUGAGAGGAUGAACAGCGACACUGGGACUGAGACACGGUCGAGACUCCUACGGGAGGCAGCAGUGGGGAAUAUUGCACAAUGGGCGCAAGCCUGAUGAAGCCAUGCCGCGUGUAUGACGAAGGCCUUCGGGUCGUCAAGUACAUUUGGCUGGGAGACGUUAACAGCCGAAGACGCCCCGGGUAACCCCAUGCCAGCAGCCGCGGUAAUAC